CGUGUAGGCGGGAUAUUAAGUCAGAUGUGAAAGCCUAGGGCUCAACCCUGGAAGUGCAUUUGAUACUGGUAUUCUUGAGUAUGGGAGAGGAGAGUGGAAUUCCUAGUGUAGAGGUGAAAUUCGUAGAUAUUAGGAGGAACACCCGUGGCGAAGGCGACUCUCUGGACCAAUACUGACGCUGAGACGCGAAAGCGUGGGGAGCGAACA
rnacentral:rRNA from 1 species